AUGAUGAUUAUCAUGAUUACGUUCUGUACUACAUGGUUUGAAGAGGCCGAAGCCACGGUUCACAGUGUGUUUGGUUAAACGGCUUGCGCCGCAUCUUUAAUGAUCCUUCCGCAGGUUCACCUACGGAAA
rnacentral:misc_RNA from 1 species